GGCGCAUAAUUUUUGCGCGUAUAAAAUUUUUUCCUUUGACCAUCAGUUCGCACAACACUGACAGUUCUUCCUAUAAGUAAUUUAAGUUCUGUCAAUAAAUACGACAGUUUUUGUUUAAAUCCUGGAAACAUCUGACUACUACUGAAGACAGUUUGAUGUAGGCUCUCGUCUUGUUUCUUCUUGCGAAUUUCCCACAAUCUGCAAACGUCAGAGUAAAUUAAUCAAUUUUUGUAACCUUUGGACUGACCAUUCGAACUUACCCGCGCUGUUCUUUUCCUCUGUAUUGCCUGAAUGGAUAAAAUAGGCAGGGCCAUUAAAAUCGUCGAGGCUAUUAUUGUCAAAAUGAAUAUUAUGAAACAAGCAAAACACGCCAUAAAAAAAGUAUAUUUAAAAAUUUGUUUAUAUGAAUUUUGUGUGUUGUGUAUGUUGAAUGAGUGUGAUGCAAUAAA